rnacentral:rRNA from 1 species
AGAGUUGAUCAUGGCUCAGGAUGAACGCUGGCGGCGUGCUUAACACAUGCAAGUCGAACGAAGCAAUUUCUACGAUCCCUCGGGGUGACGGAUUAUUGACUGAGUGGCGGACGGGUGAGUAACGCGUGGGUAACCUACCUUGUACAGGGGGACAACAGUUGGAAACGACUGCUAAUACCGCAUAAGCGCACAGUAUCGCAUGAUACAGUGUGAAAAGUUUUUUCGGUACAAGAUGGACCCGCGUCUGAUUAGCUAGUUGGUGAGGUAACGGCUCACCAAGGCGACGAUCAGUAGCCGACCUGAGAGGGUGACCGGCCACAUUGGGACUGAGACACGGCCCAAACUCCUACGGGAGGCAGCAGUGGGGAAUAUUGCACAAUGGGCGAAAGCCUGAUGCAGCCGACGCCGCGUGAGCGAAGAAGUAUUUCGGUAUGUAAAGCUCUAUCAGCAGGGAAGAUAAUGACGGUACCUGACUAAGAAGCACCGGCUAAAUACGUGCCAGCCGCCGC